GGUCUGCAGCCCUCCCGGCUUUCCGCCCCCAGGUCUGCGCCAAGCCUCCGGGCUGCGUGGGCGUGUGGUGGCCUCGGGGCCUCCGCGGCUUUCCCAGCCUUCCGGGCGCCCCAGCUUGGAGGAUGCCCUCAGAAGGUCGCGCCACUUGCAGCGGCCCGAGAGCAUGCCUUCGGGGGCCCGUUAGGGACGCGGCCUGAGCUCCAGGGGCCGUAGGUCACCUACCUACCUGGCGGCCUUCGCUGGAAGCUAUAGGAGGAUGCCCACUUCCGGACCCACCCCUCAGGCGGGACAAACCCUGGACCAGGCUCUCCAGACCCACCCAGCCACUGUGGUCUCUGAGCCCACCCGGAGGCCGAUCUACAGGUCCAGGCCCCAGGAUGAAGAGUUGGCCCACCCUGAGCUGUAAUGGGUGAGCAAGUGAGCAAGAGGUGGGAAGGGGCACUGACUGGGGGCCCUCCCAACAGGACAGAGGCAUUCACUGGACUCUCUGCCUUCUUUGACCUCUGGGCUGUGUCUGGAGCCUGAGUGCAGGGCGGGGGGAGUGGAGAGUGAGAGGCCCAGGGACCAGGGCCUACUCCAAAGUGGGCGCUCAGCAAACUAUGACAAGGAUGAGAGUUACAUUAAGGAUAAUAAUGGACACCUGGCUGGCUCAGUCAGUGGAGCAUGCAACACUUGACCUCGGGAUUGUACCUUUGAGCCCCAUGAUGGGUGUAGAGAUUACUAAAUAAAAUCUUUUGGGCACCUGGGUGGCUCAGUCA